rnacentral:rRNA from 1 species
CAGCCCCGUACACAAAAAUGCACAUACUGUGAGCUCGAUGAGUAGGGCGGGACACGUGGUAUCCUGUCUGAAUAUGGGGGGACCAUCCUCCAAGGCUAAAUACUCCUGACUGACCGAUAGUGAACCAGUACCGUGAGGGAAAGGCGAAAAGAACCCCGGCGAGGGGAGUGAAAAAGAACCUGAAACCGUGUACGUACAAGCAGUGGGAGCACGCUUAGGCGUGUGACUGCGUACCUUUUGUAUAAUGGGUCAGCGACUUAUAUUCUGUAGCAAGGUUAACCGAAUAGGGGAGCCGAAGGGAAACCGAGUCUUAACUGGGCGUUAAGUUGCAGGGUAUAGACCCGAAACCCGGUGAUCUAGCCAUGGGCAGGUUGAAGGUUGGGUAACACUAACUGGAGGACCGAACCGACUAAUGUUGAAAAAUUAGCGGAUGACUUGUGGCUGGGGGUGAAAGGCCAAUCAAACCGGGAGAUAGCUGGUUCUCCCCGAAAGCUAUUUAGGUAGCGCCUCGUGAAUUCAUCUCCGGGGGUAGAGCACUGUUUCGGCAAGGGGGUCAUCCCGACUUACCAACCCGAUGCAAACUGCGAAUACCGGAGAAUGUUAUCACGGGAGACACACGGCGGGUGCUAACGUCCGUCGUGAAGAGGGAAACAACCCAGACCGCCAGCUAAGGUCCCAAAGUCAUGGUUAAGUGGGAAACGAUGUGGGAAGGCCCAGACAGCCAGGAUGUUGGCUUAGAAGCAGCCAUCAUUUAAAGAAAGCGUAAUAGCUCACUGGUCGAGUCGGCCUGCGCGGAAGAUGUAACGGGGCUAAACCAUGCACCGAAGCUGCGGCAGCGACGCUUAUGCGUUGUUGGGUAGGGGAGCGUUCUGUAAGCCUGUGAAGGUGUGCUGUGAGGUAUGCUGGAGGUAUCAGAAGUGCGAAUGCUGACAUAAGUAACGAUAAAGCGGGUGAAAAGCCCGCUCGCCGGAAGACCAAGGGUUCCUGUCCAACGUUAAUCGGGGCAGGGUGAGUCGACCCCUAAGGCGAGGCCGAAAGGCGUAGUCGAUGGGAAACAGGUUAAUAUUCCUGUACUUGGUGUUACUGCGAAGGGGGGACGGAGAAGGCUAUGUUGGCCGGGCGACGGUUGUCCCGGUUUAAGCGUGUAGGCUGGUUUUCCAGGCAAAUCCGGAAAAUCAAGGCCGAGGCGUGAUGACGAGGCACUACGGUGCUGAAGCAACAAAUGCCCUGCUUCCAGGAAAAGCCUCUAAGCAUCAGGUAACAUCAAAUCGUACCCCAAACCGACACAGGUGGUCAGGUAGAGAAUACCAAGGCGCUUGAGAGAACUCGGGUGAAGGAACUAGGCAAAAUGGUGCCGUAACUUCGGGAGAAGGCACGCUGAUACGUAGGUGAAGCGACUUGCUCGUGGAGCUGAAAUCAGUCGAAGAUACCAGCUGGCUGCAACUGUUUAUUAAAAACACAGCACUGUGCAAACACGAAAGUGGACGUAUACGGUGUGACGCCUGCCCGGUGCCGGAAGGUUAAUUGAUGGGGUUAGCGCAAGCGAAGCUCUUGAUCGAAGCCCCGGUAAACGGCGGCCGUAACUAUAACGGUCCUAAGGUAGCGAAAUUCCUUGUCGGGUAAGUUCCGACCUGCACGAAUGGCGUAAUGAUGGCCAGGCUGUCUCCACCCGAGACUCAGUGAAAUUGAACUCGCUGUGAAGAUGCAGUGUACCCGCGGCAAGACGGAAAGACCCCGUGAACCUUUACUAUAGCUUGACACUGAACAUUGAGCCUUGAUGUGUAGGAUAGGUGGGAGGCUUUGAAGUGUGGACGCCAGUCUGCAUGGAGCCGACCUUGAAAUACCACCCUUUAAUGUUUGAUGUUCUAACGUGGACCCGUGAUCCGGGUUGCGGACAGUGUCUGGUGGGUAGUUUGACUGGGGCGGUCUCCUCCUAAAGAGUAACGGAGGAGCACGAAGGUUGGCUAAUCCUGGUCGGACAUCAGGAGGUUAGUGCAAUGGCAUAAGCCAGCUUGACUGCGAGCGUGACGGCGCGAGCAGGUGCGAAAGCAGGUCAUAGUGAUCCGGUGGUUCUGAAUGGAAGGGCCAUCGCUCAACGGAUAAAAGGUACUCCGGGGAUAACAGGCUGAUACCGCCCAAGAGUUCAUAUCGACGGCGGUGUUUGGCACCUCGAUGUCGGCUCAUCACAUCCUGGGGCUGAAGUAGGUCCCAAGGGUAUGGCUGUUCGCCAUUUAAAGUGGUACGCGAGCUGGGUUUAGAACGUCGUGAGACAGUUCGGUCCCUAUCUGCCGUGGGCGCUGGAGAACUGAGGGGGGCUGCUCCUAGUACGAGAGGACCGGAGUGGACGCAUCACUGGUGUUCGGGUUGUCAUGCCAAUGGCACUGCCCGGUAGCUAAAUGCGGAAGAGAUAAGUGCUGAAAGCAUCUAAGCACGAAACUUGCCCCGAGAUGAGUUCUCCCUGACCCUUUAAGGGUCCUGAAGGAACGUUGAAGACGACGACGUUGAUAGGCCGGGUGUGUAAGCGCAGCGAUGCGUUGAGCUAACCGGUACUAAUGAACCGUGAGGCUUAACCUU